rnacentral:rRNA from 1 species
CGGAGAGUUUGAUCCUGGCUCAGGAUGAACGCUGGCGGCGUGCCUAAUACAUGCAAGUCGAACGCUUUGUGGUUCAACUGAUUUGAAGAGCUUGCUCAGAUAUGAUGAUGAACAUUGCAAAGAGUGGCGAACGGGUGAGUAACACGUGGGAAACCUACCUCUUAGCAGGGGAUAACAUUUGGAAACAGAUGCUAAUACCGUAUAACAAUAGCAACCGCAUGGUUGCUACUUAAAAGAUGGUUCUGCUAUCACUAAGAGAUGGUCCUGCGGUGCAUUAGUUAGUUGGUGAGGUAAUGGCUCACCAAGACGAUGAUGCAUAGCCGAGUUGAGAGACUGAUCGGCCACAAUGGGACUGAGACACGGCCCAUACUCCUACGGGAGGCAGCAGUAGGGAAUCUUCCACAAUGGGCGAAAGCCUGAUGGAGCAACGCCGCGUGUGUGAUGAAGGGUUUCGGCUCGUAAAACACUGUUGUAAGAGAAGAAUGACAUUGAGAUUAACUGUUCAAUGUGUGACGGUAUCUUACCAGAAAGGAACGGCUAAAUACGUGCCAGCAGCCGCGGUAAUACGUAUGUUCCAAGCGUUAUCCGGAUUUAUUGGGCGUAAAGCGAGCGCAGACGGUUAUUUAAGUCUGAAGUGAAAGCCCUCAGCUCAACUGAGGAAUUGCUUUGGAAACUGGAUGACUUGAGUGCAGUAGAGGAAAGUGGAACUCCAUGUGUAGCGGUGAAAUGCGUAGAUAUAUGGAAGAACACCAGUGGCGAAGGCGGCUUUCUGGACUGUAACUGACGUUGAGGCUCGAAAGUGUGGGUAGCAAACAGGAUUAGAUACCCUGGUAGUCCACACCGUAAACGAUGAGUGCUA